GACGAACGCUGGCGGCGUGCCUAACACAUGCAAGUCGAACGGGACCAGCAAUGGUUCAGUGGCGGACGGGUGCGUAACACGUGAGGAACAUGUCUUUCGGUGGGGGAUAGCCGGCCCAAC
rnacentral:rRNA from 1 species